rnacentral:lncRNA from 1 species
CUCUAUCGCACCCACCCUGGAGGGGAACGGAGCCCCAGCAGCACCUGCACGGCCCUUCCCCGGGGUACCUGUAGCCUGUGGGUGUCUGUCCGCCUCGAGGGAAGGAUCAUGGGGUCCGAAGCUCUGCCCCCAGGACCGUGGGGACUUAGGAAGCCAAUCUGGCACCAGCUGCUUGGAGCAAAACAAUUCCCACGUGGACCCAUCUCCUGGGUGUAAAAUAGACGAACGGGCAAAGCCCAUUUGUAAAGGUUGCGGGAGCACCUCUCCAGCUCUCCAGAGGGGGGCGCUCGCAGGAAAGGAUGAAUCACCGAGCGGAGACACAAAUAGCUCAUUGGUGUCUGUCUGAGAGUCAGGUCUUGGAAUCAUCUUGGAAUGCGACACGGACAUAAGGGGUGCUGGUCGCUGAAGCCGCUACGGAUGUCAGCGGAUGUCAGCGCUCACGUGCAAACACAGUGCUCCGUAGUCCUGCAGCCACAGCCUGAGGACGGUCACAUGCCACCCAUGUCAGGUCCCCCAGGGCCACACCAAGCCUGCUGCUGUCAGAGGGCCGGGCCUGGGUUUGCCCCGUGGAGACGUGGAGACGAAACAAGCUCAACUACAGCAUUUCAAAGGCGCCUGGAAUUUCUGGUCUCUGUUUUGGAACACUCCUCCUUGCGGGCUCAAUAUGCUGAAUCCUGAAGACACAAGAUGCCAGGACCCAGGGCUAAUGGGACACAGAAGACAAGGGCUGCCCGAAUAAAUACCACCACCGUUCAAAAAAGAAAAAAAAA